CAGUAGCCGCGGGAAUACAGAGGGUGCGAGCGUUAAUCGGAUUUACUGGGCGUAAAGCGUGCGUAGGCGGCUUUUUAAGUCGGAUGUGAAAUCCCUGAGCUUAACUUAGGAAUUGCAUUCGAUACUGGGAAGCUAGAGUAUGGGAGAGGAUGGUAGAAUUCCAGGUGUAGCUGUGAAAUGCGUAGAGAUCUGGAGGAAUACCGAUGGCGAAGGCAGCCAUCUGGCCUAAUACUGACGCUGAGGUACGAAAGCAUGGGGAGCAAACAGGAUUAGAUACCCCCGUAGUCCCUGUCUCUUAUAC
rnacentral:rRNA from 1 species